rnacentral:tRNA from 1 species
GAGGGUAUAGCUUAGUGGUAGUAUGUGUGCCUAGCAUGCAUGAGGUCCUGGGUUCAAUCCCCAGUGCCUCCA